ACACUGUGGUAGUGGCGGGAACAGGAAGUUUCGGCAGGCGCACACCAUUCUUUACAAUAAAGAAAACGCCUGAACUGUGCUGUCCUUUUCUCUUUAUUACUACAGAUUAAGUCUGAGGCCGGUAACAUCAACAGUGAGGCCAAACCCAGCCUGCCUCUCUCCUUCCACACUGAGUCCAAACCUACAGUCACUGGGUCCUGAUUGUGACAGUGGAGCCCAGUUUGCACUGCAGGAUCCAGAGAUGGCAUCAGUGAAGCUGGAAGACUGCAGUCAAACACUGGAGCUGAAUGUCAACAUUAAAGAUGAAGAAGAGGAGGAGAAGAUUGGGAAAUCUGUUUCUCAUGGGUCUCCAACAUUUACGCAGCUGCUCAGAGGGAUAAAUGAUCUGGAACAGACAGCGUUAGACGGCGAUUCUCAGGAGCAAAUCGCAUGCAGCCAAACCCCGUCACAUUAUUGUAGACCUGACAUACAGCCAAGAAGAAUAACGGGGUCCAUAUGGACCCUGAACGGCUUCGGAAGAGCAGAUGACACAUCCGAUGACACAGAUUCAAUUCUCCCGUACUGUACGAACGUUUUUUCGAACACACCGAGAACAGAGGUUUUAAACGUCCGGUCAACUCCCCUGGGAAUCUCCACCAGCUCGCUCCAUAUUCCUAACCCAAGCAAACAACGCACAACUCGGGCGCAAAUACAUUGCUCAGAAUCAACCCCUCCGGAAAAGUACGACAGGGCUCCAACGAGACAGGCCUGGCAGAAUCGGGAAUUCUUGGUGACAAAAGUCAAGCCCCCCGGUUUACGCGAUUUGUCAGAACAGCCCUCGUCAAAAAAGCUGAGACUCCUCCCCGGCGUAUAACGGCACCAAAGACCUCACACAUCUAGAGCACGAGGAGGAUUCCAGCUCACCGAACAUUCCCAAUGAACAACCAAACCGGAGGAUUUCAACGUUAUAAAUGACAUUUCCGAGGCAGACGACCGGUUAUUAUGGGAUGCGGCCAACCUUCUUGAUUCUGCCAAUUCUGUGGUGACAACAGAUGGAUCUGAAAUAGAACAAGCUAGGUUUUUCACAGCCUUUUCCAGGGCUCUAAAAUCCCGAAAGGUUUUGCUACACAGACGUGUGCGUGUUUUACUAGAGCGCCAAUACCGUCAGGAUAUAUCCUUCUGGCAUAGAGCAAUUCCGCGUAUGUUAAAUAGCAAUCCGAUUAAAAAAACGCAAAUACAGGCGUUAAAAGCAUAUAUGUAACACGGAUCCUUCCAGAAUAACCCAAGAACACACAUCAUUAAUUAUCCAAAUGGCUGACCCAACAGACCUAGGCGAGACAGUUGAAAACCUCUUAUCCCAGAUACCGCCAGAAUUCCAAGCUAUAAUUAACCAUUUGAAUGAGGCGGGGGUAACAGACAUAAUACCGAUAGAUGAAAGCAUAUUAUCACAGAUUCCAGCCGAACUCAUAGAAAUUAUUAAUCGUAUGAAUGAGUCAGGGCCGUCCGAUGAAAACCUGUUAUCACAGAUUCCCGAAGCCCUCAUAUCGCUAAUUACCCAGAUGAACGAGAGCCUGAGAUCUAAUUCUGCAACACACACCCCUCAAAACCAGACAUUAACACCCAUGUCCGAAGAGUCUGAAACGCAAUAUGAUGUUUUUGAGGAAUUGGAAAAUUGUCUAAUAAAUCAGGAUGGAAACGGUAUGGAUAGAAGUGUUCGUGUUGUGUGCCGAAAUCAAUUCAACAAUACAGAGAUUCGACAGUUUUUCAAUUUCGCAUGGGUGAAUCAAAAUCUUGACUAUGCUGUGUUUUACGUAAUGAUAUUGGACACUCUGAACAAACUGUUAGACAGGGCUAGAGAUUAUGGCGAACCACGUGAUGUCUUACAGUUGGAAAUUUGUGGAGAUUGCCUGCAUAACACGGUAUCUCUUAUUUUGACCAAUGGCGAAGCAGAUCUGGAACAAUUUAUCGCCCUGCUAGAACGACUUGUUCAGUCAAAUGUAUCCGUCAUAGCCGAUAGGACCCUCGAGCUUGUAGUGCAAAUAAUACGUCAACCCCUGGGUGGUGGUGGGCAGAGUAGGAAGCUAGAUUGCAUUAUGCUAUCAGAAAUCAUAAGCAAUAAAAGGGCCUACCUCAUAAACGUUCACAAUCCCGGUAAUAAGCUAUGCUUUGCAAUAGGUCUGUCCCAUUUACUCAACCCGGGAUGUACUGAUCUAGCGGCGUUACAACGGUAUACAGGAUGCUGUGGCUUUCUCUGACAUACUCAAAUUUGAAAACUUUCUGAAUAUCCAGAUUGUGGUUUUGUACCACAGUAGAGCUAAUGCAGCUCUCUUGAAAUUCCAAAACAACCCCCAACCUCAUCCUCAGACUCUGUACUUUUAUGUGCAAAACGAACAUUACUAUGCCGUUACUAACAUCACAGCGUUUUUAGGCGCACCAUAUGUGUGUCCAUCCUGCCAUACCGGCUACACCCGAAUGGGGGGGCACUCGUGCCGUUAUAACUGUUCAGUAUGUCUGGAUAAAAAUUGUCCUAUGCAACCCUUACACUUGACACCCUGUGAGGAUUGCCACCGCACAUGUCGUUCGGCCUACUGUUACGAAAAACACAAAAUUGAAACAUGGCACCCCAAGGCCUGUAAAUCUGUAAGCAGCUGUGACAUUAACAAGAAAUGCCCAAAAUGCCAUUGUAAUUACAACCUUAAAAUAGAUAGCCCUAAACCGCAUGUGUGUGGAAUCAUACAUUGCUCAAUCUGUAAAGGGCCUUUGAAAAGCAGACACUGAAGUGGUUCAAGAAGUGCAACACAAGUGUUAUAUUCAGCCCGUGGCUGAAGUUGAACAUUCAGAGAAAUAAAGUGUUAUAUGAUUUUGAGACAAAUCAGCAAUCAGGGGUUCAUUUGCCUAUUUUUGUAUCUACCAUGACUUUCAAGGGUGAAAAGUGGUCGGCCGAGGGACCCAAUUGUGCACUGUUCUUUCUAAAACACUUUAGAAAACCCCAAUACAGAAACUUCACGUUUAUAGCACACAAUGCUCGAGCCUAUGACCUUCUUCUGAACCCCUUGAUACAGCAAGGCGUUGCACCCAGUGUCAUAGCUCAAGGUAGUAAAAUCUUGUGUUUUGUAGACCCCGCCUUCAACCAGAGAUAGAUUGACAGUUUAAGCUUCUUACCCAUGAGAUUGGCUCAAAUGCCAGAGGCCUUGGGUUUUGAAAACUCUGUGAAAGGCUGGUUCCCCGCACUUCUUCACAUCUGAGGAGAAUCUACAUUAUAUUGGAUCGUAUCCCUGCCCCGAAAUGUACAGGUGUGAUCAAAUGUCUCCCAAAGAGCGUGAGAGAUUCAUGACAUGGUACGAGACAGUAAGACAUGGCCCCUUUGAUUUCCAUAAAGAGAUGGAAUCAUACUGUGACAAUGAUGUGGUUAUACUUGGUGAAGGAUGCCUCAGAUUCAGAGAAGUAAUCAAAGAUGCAGGCAUUGACCCCUGGAGUUGUAUAACUAUUGCAUCGGCGUGCAUGAAAACCUAUCGUAUGAGUACAACGGUUGUUUCUUCCACGGUUGUAAAUCUUGCUUUGUGCCCCAGGCCAUGUGUGUCCUAACCCAAAAGACUUGUGGAAAUGUAUCAACGGUUUCAAGACAAAUUGGAUUCUUUCCAGGCUACUUACAGGUUAAAAGUUGUGGUUUUGUGGGAGCACGAAUGGACAGCCCUCAAAAAGUCUGAUCCUCAUGUUCAAGCCUUCCUUUCCAGCUAUGACACACUAGAACCCCUGGGACCACGACAGGCCUUGUAUGGAGGCCGUACCAAUGUUUUGACCUUGCGGUAUGUAGCGCAACCCGACGAGACAAUAGGAUAUGUAGAUUUUACAUCCCUUUAUCCUCAUGUAAUGUAUGGGGCAUCCGGAAAUUAUUCACCGCGACUUUGACUUACCCCAAAACUAUUUUGGUCUGAUCAAAGCAACUGUCUACCCUCCUAGGGGUUUGUUUAUACCAGUGUUUACUUACAGGGGCCCUCAAGGAAAACUUUUCUUUCCCCUUUGUCGCACCUGCAGUGAAAACAACAACCAGCAAAACCCUUGUGAUCACUCAGAUCAAGAAAGAGCCCUGACAGGUGUAUGGGUCACAGUUGAAUUCUCUAAGGCUCUAGAGAUGGGCAACUCACUUUGGGGCAAAUUAUCGCAGAGAUGCAAUAUGUUAACAACGUCGAUCAUUAAAGACCCCAAAGAAUUUUUGGAAUUUGUUUUUUCGGACGAAUACGAAAUUUCACAUUUUUCAUUCUUGAGUCAAGACAUUGCCCUGGUGCAAUUGAGGUGCAACCAGAAGUGGGUUCUACCCCCGGGUAAUGUAAGUGUGUUUAUUGCAGCAUUUACCACGGCCUAUUGCCGACUUGAACUGUACACCCUCAUGGAACAGCUUCAGAGGCGGGUUCUUUACCACGACACAGACUCUGUGGUCUAUGUAAGCAAACAGGGUGAUUGGAACCCCCCACUUGGCGACUAUCUGGGUGGUUUAACGAGUGAACUUGAAGAGGGUGACCAUAUCACAGAAUGGUCCUCAUGUGGACCCGAAAGCUAUGCUUUUAGGACUAAAGACAAUCACGUGGUGUUGAAAGCCAAAGGCGUGACUCAAAACUAUGAAAAUGCCCCGCGUGUAAACUUGGAAUCAAUCACACGCUUGGUCGAGGGUUUCAUAAACAACAGGAAUAGUGACUUGGAGAUUUCGAGCUCCUACAAAAAAAUUGUUAGGGAUAAAAAGGGCUUCCAUCUAAGGAACACCCCACUUACUAAAAGAUUCAGGGUAGUCUAUGACAAGAGACUGCUAUUGCCUGACGGGACCACAUUGCCCUUUGGCUACUGACUUAUGCUACAAGCCCCCCCAGUGUGUCUUAAAGCUUAAGAUAUAAUGACUGCUGUAGCUGAUUUUGACCCCCGUUUGCAACUGCCAUUUUCAGCCUAAAUCGCAGGCCCAUCAAAUAGUGGUAAAACUUGCUUUGUAAAAAGUAUUUUAGAGAAUUCUGAACAUGUUAUCUCAAAAGCCUGAUAAUGUUGUGUGGUGUUAUUCUUGUUAUCAACCUCUGUAUGAUGAAUUAUUGAAGACAAUAAAACUCAAGUUUGUUGAAGGAAAACCUGAA